rnacentral:lncRNA from 1 species
CUUCCAACCUAGAAUGCUUACUGACUAGAAGUUACGAGUCGAGUCUACGAAGCUUCGUAGUUGUUUUGCUUCCCCCCCUUCGCCUCGCCAUGCCACUAGAUCCAUAAUGACCAACGAGUCGGAACAUGUACGAAUAUACGCGGUGCGUCGAGAUGGUCUAUCGAAGAAAGAGAUCAUUGAGCCUAUUAGCCUUAGUCGUGCCGUAGGGCUGGGAAUCGCAAGAAUUGAAAAGUCCUCUAUUAAAUGGGGUGGGGUUUGGAAAUGGCUGGAUUAGCAAGAGGGAGGGCGACCCCGACCUGAAAAAAAGGUGUACGUACUGAAUGGAACUCCCGUUUGUUAUAGCAACUCAUCCUGCGGUCUCCUCGCCAAGAGCUCCCCG